AUCCAUUCCUCUGAAUUACCAAACAACCAAUUUUGGACUCCAAUUUUUUCACGAUAAAUUUAAAAUACUCUUACUGAUUAAAUCCAUUACCCACAUCGUCGCAAUGAACAACUUCAUCAAGCUCUUGGCCAUCAUGGCAUUUGUUUUCGCAACCGUUUACGCUUCAAGUUUACAUCAGGAGGGGCACGACAUGAGUGAUUCGUCCCCAGGAUCAAACUCAGAUGCAAAGUGGCUUCCCCCAGGAAUCUGGAUUCCACUGCCAAACUUAGCCCCGACAGGAAACACGACUGGUUAAAUAAAUAUUUUCGUCUCAAGACGCCACUCUUGUCAUUAUAUAUUUACGUAGUAAUUUAUGCAAAAUCAUAAUAAAAUAUAGCAGUCUCAAUAAAAUGUUAUCAUUAAAUAGAUUAAAAUCGUCUUAUUAAUA